rnacentral:rRNA from 1 species
GGAUGUGAUCAUACCAACACUAAAGCACCGGAUCCCAUCAGAACUCCGAAGAGAAGUCCUUGUGUUGCAUUCC